rnacentral:lncRNA from 1 species
AGGUGUCUGCCAUCAGAUCCCUCACUACAGACUGCAUGCUGACGGACUUCACUGGGCCUGCUACCUGAGACUUGCUUCUUCCUCCUGGACUUACUCUGCGGCUUCUUCCUGGACCCACCCGGUACCUGCACCCUCUCGUUGCCCAAGACCGGCCUCGCUGCUCCCGCCCUUUGGCCUCGGACCAUCGGAACAGCAUGUAACAGACCGCUGCUGGAUCUUGCUGCCCAGGUUACUAGCACCACCACCGCAGCAGCAAGGCAGCCACAUGGCAAUAUGUUCACCUGGACAGCAGCUGUAAUCAUUUCACAAAUCUCACAGCUCAGCCAGUGUAAGGAGGGGCAACUGAUAGAGUGUCAAUGGUUGGUUCUCUAGUUGAACUGCUGGGCUUGUUGCAAGGAUUGGAGUGACCACAGAACUGGCUGUGAGAGUCAUGGCACCUACAAAGCCCAUCAGAAGUGUUAAUGGAGGAGCUGAAGCAAACAUAAGGCUUGUUGCAGGAACUGGAGCAACCACAGGGAUGUACCUCUCACAGGAAAUGUUUCUUCUUUGUCUCAUGGCAAUACUUGGAACUGCCACAAGACCCACAGCAGGAGGAACCAUAGGACUGAUUACAAGUGCUGGAGUGACAGCAGAGUCUGUCACAAUUUUCAGAGCAAUGCAGGACCUGUUGCAGGAAUUUGAGAUGCUGCAGGGUCUAUAACAGGAGCUGAGGGGUCUUCAGCAUUGUCAUCACAUCCAGAAGUAUUCUCCUUCUUGAGAGUGCUAAAUAGUAUUGAACAGUGCUUGGAUUCUGCAGUUGUUCAGAGGUGAAGUUCUUCAACCACUGGGUGUGCCUACAGCUCUAAGCACCUGCCCAUACCAUCCCAUGCUCUCUGCCACUCAGAACUAUACUGCCUUGGUAACAUUCUUAUAUAAUUGUUUAAUCUUAAACAUAAUCUGAAAUGCAUUCAUGACACAUACUAAUAAGAGCAUGCUGGUUUGAACAUCCCAAGAAUACUCAAAAUUCUCAAGAGCUAUUGUAAUUAGCUCACAGAAUGGCCUGGGUUGAAAAGGACCACAAUGAUCAUUGAGUUUCAACCCCCCUGCUAUGUGCAGUGUCACCAACCACUAGACCAAGCUGCCCAGAGCCACAUCCAGCCUGGUCUUGAAUGCUUCCAGGGAUGGGGCAUCCACAACCUCCUUGGGCAACCUGUUCCAGUGUGUCACCACCCUCUGUGUGAAAAACUUCUUCCUAAUAUCUAACCUAAACAUCCCCUGUCUCAGUUUAAAACCAUUCCCCCUUGUAUUAUCACCAUCCACCCUCGCAAACAGCUGUUCCCCCUCCUGUUUAUAUGCUCCCUUCAAGUACUGCAAGGCCACAAUGAGGUCUCCCCAGAGCCUUCUCUUCUCCAAGCUAAACAAUCCCAGUUCCCUCAACCUUUCCACAUAGGAGAGGUGCUCCAGCCCUCUGAUCAUCUUAGUGGCCCUCCUCUGAACCAAAUCCAAGAGCUCCAUGUCCUUCCUGUUCUGGGGGCCCCAGGCCUGGACACAGUACUCCAGAUGGGGCCUUGCAAGAGCCGAGUAGAAGGAGACAAUCACCUCCCUCUCCCUGCUAGCCACCCCUUUUUUAAUGCAGCCCAGAACACACUUGGCCGCCUGGGCUGCAAGUGCACACUGCUAGCUCAUGUCCAGCUUCUCAUCUACCAGGACCCCCAAGUACUUCUCCACAGGGCUACUCUCAAGGAGAUCUUCGCCCAGUUUGUAUAAAUGCCUGGGAUUGCCCCAACCCAAGUGCAGCACCCUGCACUUGGCCUUAUUGAACCUCAUUAGGUUUUCAUGGGCCCACUUCUCCACCCUGUCCAGGUCCCUCUGGGUGGAUUCCCUUCCUUCCAACGUAUCGACUGUACCACUCAGCUUGGAGUCAUCCGCAAACUUGCUGAGGGUACACUUGAUGCCACUGUCUAUGUCAUUGAUGAAGAUGUUGAAAAGCUCAUGAGCUCUAAGGAAAGAAGGAAAAGUGAAAGAGGCUGAGAAAAGUGUCCUCCCCUAUCUCCUCCACAGCCCUGCUCCCUAAGGAGAGGAAAUAAUAUAUAUAAUUACUAAUACUAUUAACAAAAUGGUUUCAAAAACCCAAAGAUGACAGCAAGGCUGAAUAGACACAAAGCAGCAGUUUCUCAGUUGCCAAUUUGAUCAUGAUAUAUGCCAAGGCCACACAGCAUAGCAAAACAGAAACCUUAAUCCAACCUCCAGGGAUGACAACACAGCAUAGAAAAUAAGCAGUAAGCAAGGUUCUCCAUAAACAGGAAAAAAUUAACAUUGUGACCAGGAAUUAUCAAAUUACCACAACACCCUGUGUUUACACUGUCCAAUUAGAUCUGCUAUUAUCUUAACCCUUCAGACCCCAUGUUGGGUGCCAAAUUGACUGUUGUGGUUUAACCUGGCUAAGCACCACACAGUCCCAUUCAAUCACCUC